rnacentral:rRNA from 1 species
UACGAAGGGGGCUAGCGUUGUUCGGAAUCACUGGGCGUAAAGCGCACGUAGGCGGAUGUGCCAGUCAGGGGUGAAAUCCCGGAGCUCAACCCUGGAACUGCCUUUGAUACUGACGAUCUGGAGAUCGGGAGAGGUUGGUGGAAUUCCGAGUGUAGAGGUGAAAUUCGUAGAUAUUGGGAAGAACACCGGUGGCGAAGGCGGCUAUCUGGCCCGUAAUUGACGCUGAGGCGCGAAAGCGUGGGGAGCAAACAGG